UAGUAAUCGCGAAUCAGAAUGUCGCGGUGAAUACGUUCCCGGGUCUUGUACACACCGCCCGUCACACCAUGGGAGCCGGAAAUGCCCGAAGUCUGUGACCUAACCGUAAGGAAGGAGCAGCCGAAGGCAGGUCGGAUGACUGGGGUGAAGUCGUAACAAGGUAUC
rnacentral:rRNA from 1 species